CGGGGUGUAGCUCAGUCUGGUAGAGCGUGAGCUUUGGGGGUUCAAAGUCGGAGUUCAAAUCCCUCCACCCCGACCA
rnacentral:tRNA from 1 species